rnacentral:rRNA from 1 species
AGGAUAAACGCUGGCGGCGUGCCUAACACAUGCAAGUCGAACGCGCUUUUUUCGCAAGAGGAGAGCGAGUGGCGGACGGGUGAGUAACACAUGGGUACCUACCUUGGAGUGAGGGAUACCGGCGAGAAAUCGCCGACAAUACCGCAUACGCUUCUCUUCACCGGGAAGCAAAGUUGCGCAAGCGACGCUCUGAGAUGGGCCUGUGGCCGAUUAGCUAGUUGGUGGGGUAACGGCCUACCAAGGCGACGAUCGGUAGCUGGUCUGAGAGGACGAUCAGCCACACUGGGAUUGAGAACGGCCCAGACUCCUACGGGGGGCAGCAGUGAGGAAUUUUCGUCAAUGGGGGUAACCCUGACGGAGCGACGCCGCGUGUGGGAAGAAGGCCUUCGGGUCGUAAACCACUGUCGAGGGGACGAUAUUGACGGUACCCUGGAGGAAGCCCCGGCUAACUACGUGCCAGCAGCCGC